UACGUAGGGGGCUAGCGUUGUCCGGAAUCAUUGGGCGUAAAGAGCGCGUAGGCGGCCAGAUAAGUCCGGUGUGAAAGUCACAGGCUCAACCUGUGAAUGCCGCUGGAAACUGUCUGGCUAGAGUCCGGAAGGGGCGAGUGGAAUUCCCGGUGUAGUGGUGGAAUGCGUAGAUAUCGGGAGGAACACCAGUGGCGAAGGCGGUUGCCUGGAGCUUUGCUGACGCUGAGGCGCGAAAAGCUAGGGGGAGCCGAAC
rnacentral:rRNA from 1 species